UAUUUUUUGGAAAUAUGUAACUGGUCUUCCAAUUCAGCAUGGGAUUCAAGCAAAAGCAAGUCUCCAAACAAAUAUGAUACUCGAGUAUAUUUUUUAUAUAACAUAUUUUUAUGGAAAUGUUUUUUUAGCUUAAGCAUGUCAGCUAAAAGUGUAAAUGCAACAUUACACAAAACAAAAGUUGUGCUACCCUAACCGCGUGUAUGUAUCAACGUUUACGUUAUAUAUCGUCUUUUUGCAGUCACUUGCAUACAAACUUGGUGAUUGCGAAUUUAGCUACUUGUUAAUUCCAGGUUGGUUCCGUCUUUAUUCUUAAGACAAAAGUCGGGCAGCAUCUGGCACUCGUUGUUGUUACCAUGGCAACGAAAUCGUCGGUCUGCAUAUGCCAAGAGACAAAUGAUUUCCUCUCUUUGUCCGAUUCAUCUCGCAUUCAUUGUUGUCUUGCCCUCUCCUUGGGAAGGGAAAGCUGGGAGAGGGCUAAAUCUGAUAAAUUUUACAUACAUUAAUUUGUAAAUUUUUAUAAGCUGAAAAUUAUAAAUAUCUAACCUACUUUUUGUCGGGGCACGCGAGUGUUAUUUAAUUUAAUAAACAAUCUGGAAAUCUCUUCAAAAUCAUACGGAGGGAGGACAUGCAUUUAUUUGCAACUUCUCAAUUGAUGUUCACAGAUGGUCAAGAUUCGUUGGAGUGCUACCUACAUAAUUUUAUGCUAAUCCGAUCUAACGACUUGGACUGGAGAAUAUGUACAUCCAUAAGCAAAUUUACCCGAAAAAUUUCCAAAAUCUCAGAGAGAUGAACUAUGUACAUCCAUAGAGGUAAGUUUAUCAUUAACUUUAAGUCGACGCUUUCAAUUACGUUACGCUUUAAGGGGUUGAGGGGGUUUAAAAAGUGCAUCAUGAACCGUUUCGGAUGGGGGAGGGGGGUUUCGUAUUAC